UCAAUGGGGACAUUGGGGGGAAUGGGGGCACUGGGGGCAGUGGGGCCAUUGGGGUCAAUGGGGACAAGGACCCCAACGACGACGUCAGGGCCAUGAGGGAGAUGAACGGGAAGUACGUGGGCAGCCGGCCCAUCAAGCUGCGGAAGAGCAUGUGGAAGGAGCGCAACCUGGACGUGGUGCGCAAGAAGCAGCGCGAGAAGAAGAAGCUGGGCCUGCGCUAGGCGCCAUCUUGGAUUGGGCUUCAUCGUGGCCGCCAUCUUGGAUUCGGGUUUAUGGUGGCCGCCAUCUUGGAUUGCGGUUCAUCGUGGCCGCCAUCUUGGAUUGGGGUUUUCAUGCCCACCAUCUUCAUCGUGGCCGCCAUCUUGGAUUGCUGUUCAUCAUGGCCGCCAUCUUGGAUUCGGGUUUGUCGUGGCCGCCAUCUUGGAUUGGGGUUUUCAUGGCCGCCAUCUUCGUCGUGGCCACCAUCUUGGAUUCGGGUUCAUUAUGGCCGUCAUCUUGGAUUCGGGUUUGUCGUGGCCGCCAUCUUGGAUUGGGGUUUUCAUGGCCGCCAUCUUCGUCGUGGCCGCCAUCUUGGAUUUGGGUUCAUUAUGGCCGUCAUCUUGGAUUUGGGUUUUCAUGGCUGCCAUCUUGGGUUACAGUUCAUCAUGGCCGCCAUCUUGGAUUGGGGUUUAUCGUGGCCACCAUGUUGGAUUGCGGUUCAUCAUGGACACCAUGUUGGAUUCGGGUUUGUCGUGGCCGCCAUCUUGGAUUGGGGUUUAUGGUGGCCGCCAUCUUGGAUUGCGAUUACAUCAUGGACGCCAUCUUGGAUUGGGGUUGCAUCGUGGCCGCCAUCUUGGAUUGCAGUUCAUCAUGGCCGCCAUCUUGGAUUCGGGUUCAUUAUGGCCGUCAUCUUGGAUUUGGGUUUUGUGGCUGCCAUCUUGGAUUGUAGUUCAUCAUGGCCGCCAUCUUGGACUCGGGUUUAUCGUGGAUGCCAUCUUGGAUUGGGGUUUUCAUGGCUGCCAUCUUCAUCGUGGCUGCCAUCUUGGAUUGCAGUUCAUCCUGGCCGCCAUCUUGGAUUUUGUAGGGCCUACCAAAAUGGCGGUGGAGUUGGAAUUAAAGGGCCAAAGGGGGUUUUGGUUACGUCGGGGUUUGGUGUGGCGUCUGCUUUAAUUAAUGAAUGGCGUCACGGGGUCCGUCUCGUUAGCAAGGUGAUUAAUAGGGAUCCGAGCUCGUUGGGGUUUCUGUAGGUCCUACUUAAUUACGGCGUCUUAAUUGGGCUCAUCUCGUUAGCGAGGUGAUUAAUGGGGGUCCGAGUUUCUUUAUGUGGGGUAUCUGUAGGUCCUACUUCAAUUAUGGACUCAUAAUUGGGCCCAUCUCAUUAGCGAGGUAAUUAGUGGGGACCUGGGUUUGCUUACAUGCAGUUUCCGUAGGUCCUGCUUUAAUUACGGCAUCUUAAUUGGACUCAUGCCAUUGAUGCAGUAAUUAAUGGGCUUAUUUCCAGAAGCCCCGCCCCCACGCUCCCAUUGGUUGUCCCCGUGAAGCCCCACCCCCACCACACUCCCAUUGGUUGUCCUCGCAAAGCCCCUCCUCCACAGCAAUUCCAUUGGCUAUCCCCGUAAAGCCCCACCCACAAACUCCCAUUGGUUGUCCCCGUGAAGCCCCUCCCCCACAACACUCCCAUUGGCUGUCCUUUUCAAGCCCCUCCCGCACCACACUCCCAUUGGUUGCAAUCGUUUAUUGACGCUCCGCUCAGCCAAUCACAGCGCACAGUGCCCCCCGCCGGCACUCUUCCCUCAGGGGCGGGGCUUGCUCUGCAGUCCGGAAGGGGCGUGGCUACGGGUAGCACGUGCCCAGCGUUCCAACCAAUGAGAGAAGGGGACGCUCCCGGGGGGCGUGGCCAGGACCCACUGCGCCGGCUGCUCCCACCUGGAAUGGAAGGAGAAGCCAGAAAUCGUGGGCGUGGCCAAAACCCCAUUAGCCCCGCCCCCCUCACCUAACGACGCUUCUCACCAUUGGCUGACCAGCGCCUGGAGGCGGGGCCAAGCCUCGAUGCGGCUCCGGCAUUGGUUGGCGAAGUCGCGGAGGUGGGGCAACAUCUCAGCCAAUCGCUUUUCGCCUUCAUCCGGCUGCUCGGUGGGCGGAGCCUCUGACGGAU
ensembl:lncRNA